CCUACGGGAGACUGCAGUGGGGAAUAUUGGACAAUGGGGGAAACCCUGAUCCAGCGACGCCGCGUGAGUGAAGAAGUCUUUCGGUACGUAAAGCUCUAUCAGCAGGAAAGAAAAUGACGGUACCUGACUACGACGCCCCGGCUACCUACGUGCCAGCAGCCGCGGUAAUACGUAGGGGGCAAGCGUUAUCCGGAUUUACUGGGUGUAAUGGGAGCGUAGACGGCAGCGCAAGUCUGGAGUGAAAUGCCGGGGCCCAACCCCGGAACUGCUCUGGAAACUGGGGAGCUGGAGUGUAGGAGAGGUAAGCGGAAUUCCUGGUGUAGCGGUGAAAUGCGUAGAUAUCAGGAGGAACACCGGCGGCGAAGGCGGCUUACUGGACUGUAACUGACGUUGAGGCUCGAAGGCGUGGGGAGCAAACAGGAUUAGAUACCCUGGUAGUC
rnacentral:rRNA from 1 species